rnacentral:rRNA from 1 species
CAGUAGCCGCGGUAAUACGGAGGAUCCAAGCGUUAUCCGGAUUUAUUGGGUUUAAAGGGUGCGUAGGCGGUUUGGUAAGUCAGGUGUGAAAUCCCACAGCUCAACUGUGGAACUGCAUUCGAUACUGCCGAACUAGAGGCUUGGAGGGGGAAGCGGAAUUCUUGGUGUAGCGGUUAAAUGCGUAGAUAUCAAGAGGAACACCGGUGGCGAAGGCGGCUUCCUGGACAAGUCCUGACUCUGAAACACGAAAGCCAGGGGAGCGAAUGGGAUUAGAUACCCGGGUAGUCCCUGUCUCUUAUAU